rnacentral:hammerhead_ribozyme from 1 species
AUCCAGUUGACGAGUCCCAAAAAGGACGAAACGCGCGUCCUGGAU